rfam:Salmo salar isolate Sally breed double haploid chromosome ssa01, whole genome shotgun sequence.
UGCACUCACUACUGUAAGUUGCUCUGGAUAAGAGCAUGUGCUAAAUUACUAAAA